rnacentral:rRNA from 1 species
AUUGAACGCUGGCGGCAUGCUUUACACAUGCAAGUCGAACGGUAACAGGCCGCAAGGUGCUGACGAGUGGCGAACGGGUGAGUAAUGCAUCGGAACGUGCCCAGUCGUGGGGGAUAACGCAGCGAAAGCUGCGCUAAUACCGCAUACGAUCUAUGGAUGAAAGCGGGGGACCGUAAGGCCUCGCGCGAUUGGAGCGGCCGAUGUCAGAUUAGGUAGUUGGUGGGGUAAAGGCCUACCAAGCCAACGAUCUGUAGCUGGUCUGAGAGGACGACCAGCCAAACUGGGACUGAGACACGGCCCAGACUCCUACGGGAGGCAGCAGUGGGGAAUUUUGGACAAUGGGCGCAAGCCUGAUCCAGCAAUGCCGCGUGCAGGAAGAAGGCCUUCGGGUUGUAAACUGCUUUUGUACGGAACGAAACGGUCUGGGUUAAUACCCUGGGCUAAUGACGGUACCGUAAGAAUAAGCACCGGCUAACUACGUGCCAGCCGCCGCCGUAACAC